rnacentral:rRNA from 1 species
UACGGAGGGAGCUAGCGUUGUUCGGAUAUACUGGGCGUAAAGCGCACGUAGGCGGCGCCGUAAGUCAGGGGUGAAAUCCCGGAGCUCAACUCCGGAACUGCCCUUGAAACUGCAGUGCUAGAAUCUUGGAGAGGCGAGUGGAAUUCCGAGUGUAGAGGUGAAAUUCGUAGAUAUCGGGAGGAACACCGGUGGCGAAGGCGGCGACCUGGGUAGAUACUGACGCUGAGGCGCGAAAGCGUGGGGAGCAAACAGG